GCCUAUGGCCAUACCACCCUGAAUGAGCCUGAUUUCAUCUGAUCUCAUAAGCUAAGCAGGGUUGGGCCUGGUUAGUACUUGGAUGGGAGACCACCUGGGUGCUAGAGGCU
ensembl:rRNA Gm24971 predicted gene, 24971